UACGUAGGUGGCAAGCGUUGUCCGGAUUUACUGGGCGUAAAGAGCGCGCAGGCGGUCGUGCAAGUCGCGUGUGAAAGCCCCCGGCUCAACUGGGGAGGGUCACGCGAUACUGCUCGACUCGAAGGCAGGAGAGGGAAGUGGAAUUCCCGGUGUAGUGGUGAAAUGCGUAGAUAUCGGGAGGAACACCAGUGGCGAAGGCGGGUCUCUGGACAGUUCCUGACGCUGAGGCGCGAAGGCCAGGGGAGCAAACGGG
rnacentral:rRNA from 1 species